rnacentral:rRNA from 1 species
GUGGGGAAUAUUGGACAAUGGGCGAAAGCCUGAUCCAGCCAUGCCGCGUGUGUGAAGAAGGUCUUCGGAUUGUAAAGCACUUUAAGUUGGGAGGAAGGGCAGAAAGUUAAUACCUUGCUGUUUUGACGUUACCGACAGAAUAAGCACCGGCUAACUUCGUGCCAGCAGCCGCGGUAAUACGAAGGGUGCAAGCGUUAAUCGGAAUUACUGGGCGUAAAGCGCGCGUAGGUGGUUUUGUAAGUAGGAGGUGAAAUCCCCGGGAUCAACCUGGGAACUGCCUCCAAAACUGCAUGACUAGAGUACGGUAGAGGGUAGUGGAAUUUCCUGUGUAGCGGUGAAAUGCGUAGAUAUAGGAAGGAACACCAGUGGCGAAGGCGACUACCUGGACUGAUACUGACACUGAGGUGCGAAAGCGUGGGGAGCAAACAGGAUUAGAUACCCCUGUAGUCC